AGCGAACGCUGGCGGCAGGCCUAACACAUGCAAGUCGAACGAACCUUUCGGGGUUAGUGGCGGACGGGUGAGUAACACGUGGGAACGUGCCUUUAUGUUCGGAAUAACUCAGGGAAACUUGUGCUAAUACCGAAUGUGCCCUUCUGGGGAAAGAUUAAUCGCCUUUAGAGCGGCCCGCGUCUGAUUAGCUAGUUGGUUGAGGUAAUGGCUCACCAAGGCGACGAUCAGUAGCUGGUCUGAGAGGAUGAUCAGCCACAUUGGGACUGAGACACGGCCCAAAAUCCUACGGGAGGCAGCAGUGGGGAAUCUUGCGCAAUGGGCGAAAGCAUGACGCAGCCAUGCCGCGUGAAUGAUGAAGGUCUUAGGAUUGUAAAAUUCUUUCACCGGGGACGAUAAUGACGGUACCCGGAGAAGAAGCCCCGGCUAACUUCGUG
rnacentral:rRNA from 1 species